UACGAAGGGUGCAAGCGUUACUCGGAAUUACUGGGCGUAAAGCGUGCGUAGGUGGUUUGUUAAGUCUGUUGUGAAAGCCCCGGGCUCAACCUGGGAAUGGCAAUGGAUACUGGCAAGCUAGAGUGCGGUAGAGGGUAGUGGAAUUCCCGGUGUAGCGGUGAAAUGUGUAGAGAUCGGGAGGAACACCAGUGGCGAAGGCGGCUACCUGGACCAGCAUUGACACUCAAGCACGAAAGCGUGGGGAGCAAACAGG
rnacentral:rRNA from 1 species